rnacentral:rRNA from 1 species
CGGGGUGCAGCAGGCGCGAAAACUCUACAAUGCAGGCAACUGCGAUAGGGGAACAUCGAGUGAUCCUCAUAUUGGGGGUCUGUCCACUCGCCUAAAAAGCGGGUGUUAGCAAGGGCCGGGCAAGACCGGUGCCAGCCGCCGCGGUAAUACCGGCGGCUCGAGUGGUGGCCGAUAUUAUUGAGUCUAAAGGGUCCGUAGCCGGCUUUGCAAGUCUCUCGGGAAAUCCAGCGGCUUAACCGUUGGUCGUCCGGGGGGUACUACAUUGCUUGGGACUGGGAGAGGUAGGAGGUACUCAGGGGGUAGGAGUGAAAUCCUGUAAUCCUUUGGGGACCACCGGUGGCGAAGGCGUCCUACCAGAACAGGUCCGACGGUGAGGGACGAAAGCUAGGGGCACGAACCGGAUUAGAUACCCGGGUAGUCCUAGCCGUAAACGAUGCUCGCUAGGUGUCACAACAGUCGUGAACUGUUGUGGUGCCGUAGGGAAGCCGUGAAGCGAGCCACUUGGGAAGUACGACCGCAAGGUUGAAACUUAAAGGAAUUGGCGGGGGAGCACAAGGGCGAAUU